GAUGGUUAUUAUGGUCUCAUGUUAUUGUGUUAUAUAACAGGAUGGAUGGUGUAUUAUGGUCUCAUGUUAUUGUGUUAUAUAACAGGAUGGAUGGUGUAUUAUGGUCUCAU